CGGGGCGUAGCGCAGUUGGUAGCGCACGCGGUUUGGGACCGUGAGGUCGCAGGUUCGAGUCCUGUCGCCCCGACCA
rnacentral:tRNA from 1 species